CUUUUCUGAAAAUAUCAAUAGAAUGAGGAUUUCACAAAAUUGCUAAGAAAAAUAGCACGAAUUCCAUACAAUAGGCAUAUACGGUAUCAUUGAAAGCAAAACAACAUUCAUCUCUGAAAAUUAUUUAUGCAUUCCCAGGAGUCUACAACACCAGCUGAAAAGUUGUGCUGUCUUCACACCCGUGUCUACAACCACACGAUACUUUGGAAAUUACUAAUCUGUGUCAUAUUACAAUAUAUUUAUGAAAAGCUGAUUAACUCGGCGAUUCUUAACCUGCAGAUAAUUUUAAAUAUUCUUUUAUUAUUGCGGAUGAAAUGCAUAAAAAAAUAUUAGUUAUUUUGGAAAAAGCCAUAUUUGAUUAGUUGAUAUAUUUGUCAUCGUCGAUCUACAAGAUAUCCAUGGAUUAUCAUUGGCCCUCGGACUAGAAGCUGAGAGUCGAAAAUUUAGAUAAAUAUUUUAUUUGAAUGUUCAUUAUUUCUAAUGCCAUUUUAUGUUUAAAAUAAAUAUGAGUUAAAUAGU
rnacentral:lncRNA from 1 species